GCUCUGGUGGCCUAGUGGUUGGAGCGUCUGCCUCAGAUAUGGGAGGUCGUGGGUUCAAUUCCUUGCAGAGUCA